GAUUAGGGCCACAGGAGGAGAAACAAUAAUUACAGAAGGGAGAUUUUCUUUAUUUCCGUUUAGAGAUUAAAGUCAAAAUUUAAAAAGUAAAAAUUUGGAGACUAAAGUCGAAAUUUAAAAAGUCAAAAUUUCGAGAUUAAAGUUGUAAUUUAAAAAAAGUAGAUAUUUCAGUUUUAUUAAUGUCAACUUUAAUCUCGAAAGUUAAUUUUUUGUAUCUCAAAAUUUCGGUAGUAUUCACAACAUUUUGUAAUCUCAAAGAUUCAACUUCAGUCUCAAAAUUUUAAUUUACUAAAUCAUAACAUUUAAACUUUAAUCUCAAAAUUUAAUUUUUUUUUUAAUCUCGAAAUUUUGACAUUAUACACGACAUUUUGUAAUCUCAAAAAUUGGACUUUAAUCUCAAAAUUUCGACUGAAUCUCAAAAUUGUCUUUUUUUGUAAUCUCGAAAUGUCAACAUUAGUCAUGAUAUUUUAAAAUUUUCUAAUCCCAAAAAUUGGACUCUAAUCUCAAAAUAAGGACUUCAAUCUUGAAAUUAAUUUAUUUUUUAAUCUCAAAAUUUCGACAUUAUUCGCAACAUUUUGUAAUCUUGAAAUUUCAACUUUAAUCUCAAAAUUGUAAUUUGCUUAAUCUUCAAAUUCUGACUUUAAUCUCAAAAUUUUUUAAUUUUUUUUAUCUCGAAAUUUCAACCUUCGUCAUGGCAUUUUGACAUAUUGUAAUCCCGAAAAUUGGAUCUUAAACUCAAAAUUUUGACUUUAAUCUUGAAAUUUGGACUAACAUCUCCUUCCUGUAAUUAUUUUUUCCUCUUUUUUUCUCUCAUCCUCUUUCGUAUUUAUUUGUUUUCAAAUGAUAAGAAAGCAGGAGGAUUAUUUGUCAAAGUGCCCAGUUUUUUUGUACCAUAAUUGUUUACUUAAUUAAACUUAAAAUUAAGUUUACUUAAUUUUUGCAGCGUUGUGUCGGUGUGAUGUUCAUGAAUAUGUUGUGUGUUUAUCUGCUUUUUUGCUUCCAUGUGAUGGAUCUUGAGGUGAAAAACGAAAGGCUGAACUUCUCUUUUAUUCGUCUUUCUGCUGCCACAUCCCCGGCUCCAGUCCGGUUUUCUGUCCUCUCGAUUGUGUCUGAGCCACCUAUUUAUUUGAUCUUAAAAAAGGGUCUGGAGACCACUCUUCUGUUUGUGUCUAAAUAUGAGAGUGCCUGCAAAAGUAAUGUCUGAGUAUGUGUGAUGUUUUAAAGCUGAAGGAUUUUUUUUAUUAACGUAUAGAAACAUGUACAGGAUGGGAGGGGAGGUGAAGCACUUGUUCAUCUUCAGUUCUUAAAGUUGUCAUGGCUUGUCUGUGCUCAGACCGACAGAGGAGUUUAUCGUUCAUUCUCACACGAUCAGCCUAAUCAGCGAGCAGGCGGAGAGUACACAGGAAACUACUGUAAAGAUGAUAAUGUUGUUUUUUUUGUUUUUUUUUUUUAUUUUAUUUUAAACUCUGAAGUGUAAAAUAACUUUUUGACUCUCACUAUAUUUAAUUAAAGUUCUUUCCUCUCUGUGAAAA